GUCCGAGGUUGUGUCUGAAGGUUGUGUCCGAGGUUGUGUCCGAGGUUGUGUCCGAGGUUGUGUCUGAAGGUUGUGUCCGAGGUUGUGUCUGAAGGUUGUGUCCGAGGUUGUGUCCGAGGUUGUGUCCGAGGUUGUGUCUGAAGGUUGUGUCCGAGGUUGUGUCUGAAGGUUGUGUCCGAGGUUGUGUCCGAGGUUGUGUCUGAAGGUUGUGUCCGAGGUUGUGUCUGAAGGUU